CACGUAGGCGGCUUUCUAAGUCAGGGGUGAAAUCCUGGAGCUCAACUCCAGAACUGCCUUUGAUACUGGAGAGCUUGAGUCCGGAAGAGGUGAGUGGAACUCCGAGUGUAGAGGUGAAAUUCGUAGAUAUUCGGAAGAACACCAGUGGCGAAGGCGGCUCACUGGUCCGGUACUGACGCUGAUGUGCGAAAGCGUGGGGAGCAAACA
rnacentral:rRNA from 1 species